CCUACGGGUGGCAGCAGUGGGGAAUAUUGGACAAUGGGGGCAACCCUGAUCCAGCCAUGCCGCGUGUGUGAAGAAGGCCCUCGGGUUGUAAAGCACUUUCAGUGAGGAAGAACGCCUGGUGGUUAAUACCCAUCAGGAAAGACAUCACUCACAGAAGAAGCACCGGCUAACUCCGUGCCAGCAGCCGCGGUAAUACGGAGGGUGCGAGCGUUAAUCGGAAUUACUGGGCGUAAAGCGCGCGUAGGUGGCUUGAUAAGCCGGUUGUGAAAGCCCCGGGCUCAACCUGGGAACGGCAUCCGGAACUGGCAAGCUAGAGUGCAGGAGAGGAAGGUAGAAUUCCCGGUGUAGCGGUGAAAUGCGUAGAGAUCGGGAGGAAUACCAGUGGCGAAGGCGGCCUUCUGGACUGACACUGACACUGAGGUGCGAAAGCGUGGGUAGCAAACAGGAUUAGAUACCCUAGUAGUC
rnacentral:rRNA from 1 species